rnacentral:lncRNA from 1 species
AUCCACAUCGGAGACAGUGUGGCGCUUGUUGAAAACGUCUGUGGUUAAGGCCCAAAAAACUGCAUUUCAGAAAAAAAUUCCAAGGACAAUCUCAUGCAAGGAAAGAGCCCCACCAUUAAACAAACAAUCUAGGAUGGAAACCUCCAAAAGCUCUAGGGGCAGCAAGAAUGACUCAGCUGGAGCACGGUGUUCUUCUGCUCGAUUCCAGUCAUGGACACCUCACUCCUUAGGGUUAGCGAGUUCCCAAUGCCCUGCAGCCUGGACUCUCUCAGUGGAACUCAGGGGAACGCAACCUCAAACCUCAUCUAUGAACCAGGCCCUCACCCUCAAAAUCCAGGACAGUGUGCAAACCCAACAGGCAAUAGCAUCCACCCAGGAGGAGGGAUAUGUUUGCACGUCUCUUGGCCCAGAUUAUCCGAGAGAACAGAGCAGUCAUAACAUAGAAGAGAACAGAGAAAAAUCAUAUGGAUUUCAGCUUUGCCAGGAUGUCGGUGAAGUCAGACGAAUGAGCAUAAACUCAUUGGAGGAACUCUCUCAAGAAGGAUUUAAUUGUUGACAAAAAUAGACGAUCGUGGGGUGUGUUCUUUCUGGCUGCAAGGAAUGAAAGACCGAACUUGCUGACGAAGAAGUGUGUUCCUGGCGAUUUGGCUUAAGGGAAUUGACACCAGCUUUCCAGGAGGAGCAGCUGUAAACACCCAGCCUCAGGAAGGAAGCUUAUGUUCUCUGUGAGAUAUCUAGGCUCUGAAACUCCACAACUUGUUUUCACCCUUAAAGAAAAAACAGAUUCUUUCCACCUAAUCCUUUUAGUAACCAACGUGAACCGUAGGAAUUUAGGCAGGAUUUUUCCACGUCUGAUUUAAAGUCGAGAGAUUGAGGACAAGGUGAAGAGAGAAUCUAGUUAAGAGAGAACGUGCAGGACAAAUAUAGCUUAAAAGGACCUGGGAUCAGUGAAAACCCGGUGUCCCUCGCGGGGCCUGACCACCCUCCCUUCAUCUGACAGAUGAACCAGCCCACCUAUUACCCAACGAAAGGCGGGCGCUGGUCCUCUCUGCCAGGUCUCUCUAGCCCCAGGCUGCCGCAGCCUGGGCUCUUCUCCCUUGUCUAACCGCGCCAGCGCCAGAAGACCUGGGUCCAAGAAUUGUGUGGAGAUAUCUACACUACCAUCGUGUGAUAUCCUAAGAAUCAGAAAUUUCUGUUGGUGACAAAGUGACAGGACUGUCAUAUGCCCACAUUCAGACGGAAAAGCUACAUUUCUUGAAGAAAUUAGUCAAGUAAAGACGUCAUUCUCCCACCCACCUUAGAUGUACGACGUUUUGCAGUGCAUGUCGCUGGAUCGCGUGGCAAGGGCUGUUCUAGGCGGUUUUGGUGACCGGCGGCCUCCAUCAAAGGCAUGGAGCACUUGGCCGGCUCUGUGGGGUCUCCUCCCGCAAAGGGGCAGGGCCCCUCCCCCUUCCUUUUCCUAGGAAACUGCGGGACACUGUUCCCAACUCCCUCCCCUGGUGAGUGUGAGAGCGUCAUGACUGCUCGUUUCUUCCCCGGAAAUCCUGUUCCUCAUAUCUGUCCUUACCAGACACACCUUCUGAGUUCAUCUUUCUUCUCCUUUUAUCCCCUCAAAAUCUUGCUCCCAUUUCUAAAUCACAUCCUUGGCCUGAGCCUGAAAAUCUUUUGCUGUUGCUCUUGUUCCUUCUAUGGUAGUUUUAGUCCUCAAGCGCUCUUGUUCUAAAGUGGUCUCCGGAUGAAGCGCCAUCCCCAGGCAUGAGGCCUAGCACCCCGCGGCCUAAACCGGGAGGGUGAUGACGUCACUUCCUGCUCAGUUUCCUGUCCUGCCAUUGGCCGGCAGGGUGGAGUGGGAGGGGAAAAGUGCGGGCAGGAGGCGGUGCGUGGGUCAGAAGGAAGUAGCAGUGAAUGACACCAGGCCAGGGGGCGGGUCUUAUGCAGAUGAGACAGGCCCAGGGGCUGCUGUUCAGACUCCCGUUGGUCACAGACUCUAUGACUUCCUGAGCCACAGGGAUGGAGUCCAGGAUGGUUGCCUGAAUUUGAGAGCAACUUCUUUGCAGAGGACCCCAGGGACUGGGGGAGGGGGUCCUAGAGACUGGGAGUGGACUGUGUAAGGCUAUAAGGCUAUGCCAGGGCAGCAGGGAACGAUGUUUCAUGCGCUGUGCCACAGAUAGCCCCCAAAUGGAGGUGCUUCCUCAGGGUAAGGUUGCUGAAUCGUACUUCAUCGUUUGUCAUCCCCAUCAUUUUUCCAACUUUGAGGGUCUGACUGUGUCAUAUGUGACCCCGAGUCCUGGUGCAUGGGCUGUGUCCUGUUUGGGAUUUCCUGAGAGCUGUCUUAAUCCCGAGCUGUUCUCCUAAUCUUUCUUUCCUUCCAAAUUGGCCACUCUAGCUCUUCUGCUGAUCUAGUGCUGUGGGCACUGAGUUCUCUCCUGCUCCCUUCAUGAGGCCUGCCACAGACUCAGGGGAGGAACAACACUGGCCAGGCCCAGGGUCUUUACUGUCUGUUGCUUGGCUCCUGUUGCUGCUGGCUAAUGGUUUUUGUUUUGUCGUUGCUCUGUGAGUGAGUGUGCGUGUGUUUUGCCACGUGUUUACAUUGGGUGUGAGCUUUUGGGGACACAUGAGAAAGCUGAUGCUGGGAACCUCAGGCCACCUUCUGUGGGUUCUGCUGCUUCUCUGGCUUCUCUCCAGGUUGUUGACCUCUGUUGGAGGCCACUGUCCCCUCACCUCUGCCUUUGGGCAUUUCCUGUCUACAGGCCUCUGACAUCCUUGGAAUGCUCUGGCCACCCAGCCCUUGAGGAGCUCUUGCCUAGGAACCCACAAAAUGCCUGGGGUAACUGGGAAUCCUCUUCUCUGCCAUGGUUAUCAAACACACUUCCUUCUUAGAAGGUCCCAAGAAUUAGGACAAUUCUGAGUCCCCCCACCCCCUACCCCCCAAUAAAGCUUGGCAUCUCAGUCCA